rnacentral:rRNA from 1 species
GACGAACGCUGGCGGCGUGCCUAAUACAUGCAAGUCGAGCGGAAGUUGGAGAGCUUGCUCUUCAACUUUAGCGGCGGACGGGUGAGUAACACGUGGGCAACCUGCCCUGCAGAUCGGGAUAACUCCGGGAAACCGGUGCUAAUACCGAAUAGUUUUCGCCACCUCCUGGUGGCGUACGGAAAGACGGUUUCGGCUGUCACUGCAGGAUGGGCCCGCGGCGCAUUAGCUAGUUGGUGGGGUAACGGCCCACCAAGGCAACGAUGCGUAGCCGACCUGAGAGGGUGAUCGGCCACACUGGGACUGAGACACGGCCCAGACUCCUACGGGAGGCAGCAGUAGGGAAUCUUCCGCAAUGGACGAAAGUCUGACGGAGCAACGCCGCGUGAGUGACGAAGGUUUUCGGAUCGUAAAACUCUGUUGUGAGGGAAGAACAAGUACCACUUAACUACUGGUACCUUGACGGUACCUCACCAGAGAGCCACGGCUAACUACGUGCCAGCAGCCGCCGUAAAAC